rnacentral:rRNA from 1 species
CUGCGCGGAAGAUGUAACGGGGCUAAACCAUGCACCGAAGCUGCGGCAGCGACACUAUGUGUUGUUGGGUAGGGGAGCGUUCUGUAAGCCUGUGAGGUGUGCUGUGAGGCAUGCUGGAGGUAUCAGAAGUGCGAAUGCUGACAUAAGUAACGAUAAAGCGGGUGAAAAGCCCGCUCGCCGGAAGACCAAGGGUUCCUGUCCAACGUUAAUCGGGGCAGGGUGAGUCGACCCUAAGGCGAGGCCGAAAGGCGUAGUCGAUGGGAAACAGGUUAAUAUUCCUGUACUUGGUGUUACUGCGAAGGGGGGACGGAGAAGGCUAUGUUGGCCGGGCGACGGUUGUCCCGGUUUAAGCGUGUAGGCUGGUUUUCCAGGCAAAUCCGGAAAAUCAAGGCUGAGGCGUGAUGACGAGGCACUACGGUGCUGAAGCAACAAAUGCCCUGCUUCCAGGAAAAGCCUCUAAGCAUCAGGUAACAUCAAAUCGUACCCCAAACCGACACAGGUGGUCAGGUAGAGAAUACCAAGCGCUUGA